rnacentral:rRNA from 1 species
UACGUAGGGUGCGAGCGUUGUCCGGAAUUACUGGGCGUAAAGAGCUCGUAGGUGGUUUGUCGCGUUGUUCGUGAAAACUCACAGCUCAACUGUGGGCGUGCGGGCGAUACGGGCAGACUGGAGUACUGCAGGGGAGACUGGAAUUCCUGGUGUAGCGGUGGAAUGCGCAGAUAUCAGGAGGAACACCGGUGGCGAAGGCGGGUCUCUGGGCAGUAACUGACGCUGAGGGGCGAAAGCGUGGGGAGCGAACAGG